GCCCCGGUGGCACAAACGGGUAAGUGCUCGGCUGCUCACCGAGAGGUUGGUGGUUCGAAUCCACCCAGCGGCC
rnacentral:tRNA from 1 species